GGGAGACAAAGAUCUACAACUUUCAUGUACACCAAAAAUCCAUUUGAAACUUAUUUGACAUUGAAAAGUCAAGUUGAAAGUGGACCAAAACUUGCCAAAUUUGGAAACUUUGAAUUACAGGUCAUUUUCCAUUUUUAGUAACUUUUGCCCUGACCUUUGAAUCUUCAAGAUGGAUGUUUAGAAUGAUGAAUAGACCCCAUUUGAACAUGAUUGAGGUGUCUCA
rnacentral:lncRNA from 1 species